rnacentral:tRNA from 1 species
GCCGCGGCCUCGGGCGCACCUUCCAGUCCUCGUCGGUGUUCGGGUCGCUGACCGUGGCGCAGAACGUGCGCCUGGCCGUGCAGGCCCGCCGCGGCGGCUC